GAUGAACGCUGGCGGCGUGCCUAAUACAUGCAAGUCGAGCGAACGGACGAGAAGCUUGCUUCUCUGAUGUUAGCGGCGGACGGGUGAGUAACACGUGGAUAACCUACCUAUAAGACUGGGAUAACUUCGGGAAACCGGAGCUAAUACCGGAUAAUAUUUUGAACCGCAUGGUUCAAAAGUGAAAGACGGUCUUGCUGUCACUUAUAGAUGGAUCCGCGCUGCAUUAGCUAGUUGGUAAGGUAACGGCUUACCAAGGCAACGAUGCAUAGCCGACCUGAGAGGGUGAUCGGCCACACUGGAACUGAGACACGGUCCAGACUCCUACGGGAGGCAGCAGUAGGGAAUCUUCCGCAAUGGGCGAAAGCCUGACGGAGCAACGCCGCGUGAGUGAUGAAGGUCUUCGGAUCGUAAAACUCUGUUAUUAGGGAAGAACAUAUGUGUAAGUAACUGUGCACAUCUUGACGGUACCUAAUCAGAAAGCCACGGCUAACUACGUGCCAGCAGCCGCGGUAAUACGUAGGUGGCAAGCGUUAUCCGGAAUUAUUGGGCGUAAAGCGCGCGUAGGCGGUUUUUUAAGUCUGAUGUGAAAGCCCACGGCUCAACCGUGGAGGGUCAUUGGAAACUGGAAAACUUGAGUGCAGAAGAGGAAAGUGGAAUUCCAUGUGUAGCGGUGAAAUGCGCAGAGAUAUGGAGGAACACCAGUGGCGAAGGCGACUUUCUGGUCUGUAACUGACGCUGAUGUGCGAAAGCGUGGGGAUCAAACAGGAUUAGAUACCCUGGUAGUCCACGCCGUAAACGAUGAGUGCUAAGUGUUAGGGGGUUUCCGCCCCUUGGUGCUGCAGCUAACGCAUUAAGCACUCCGCCUGGGGAGUACGACCGCAAGGUUGAAACUCAAAGGAAUUGACGGGGACCCGCACAAGCGGUGGAGCAUGUGGUUUAAUUCGAAGCAACGCGAAGAACCUUACCAAAUCUUGACAUCCUUUGACAACUCUAGAGAUAGAGCUUUCCCCUUCGGGGGACAAAGUGACAGGUGGUGCAUGGUUGUCGUCAGCUCGUGUCGUGAGAUGUUGGGUUAAGUCCCGCAACGAGCGCAACCCUUAAGCUUAGUUGCCAUCAUUAAGUUGGGCACUCUAAGUUGGCUGCCGGUGACAAACCGGAGGAAGGUGGGGAUGACGUCAAAUCAUCAUGCCCCUUAUGAUUUGGGCUACACACGUGCUACAAUGGACAAUACAAAGGGCAGCGAAACCGUGAGGUCAAGCAAAUCCCAUAAAGUUGUUCUCAGUUCGGAUUGUAGUCUGCAACUCGACUACAUGAAGCUGGAAUCGCUAGUAAUCGUAGAUCAGCAUGCUACGGUGAAUACGUUCCCGGGUCU
rnacentral:rRNA from 1 species